rnacentral:rRNA from 1 species
CGAAGGGUGCGAGCGUUAAUCGGAAUUACUGGGCGUAAAGCGUGCGCAGGCGGUUUGUUAAGAUAGGCGUGAAAUCCCCGGGCUCAACCUGGGAACUGCGCUUAUGACUGGCAAGCUAGAGUACGGCAGAGGGGGUGGAAUUCCACGUGUAGCAGUGAAAUGCGUAGAGACGUGGAGGAACACCAAUGGCGAAGGCAGCCCCCUGGGUCGAUACUGACGCUCAUGCACGAAAGCGUGGGUAGCAAACAGGAUUAGAUACCCUGGUAGUCCACGCCCUAAACGAUGUCAACUAGGUGUUGGGAGGGUAAAACCUUUUAGUACCGGAGCUAACGCGUGAAGUUGACCGCCUGGGGAGUACGGCCGCAAGGUUA